GGUGCCGGGAGCGGGGCGAGGAGGAGGGUGGGUAUGAGGCGGUAGCGGACCGCGGAGUCGAGACCUACCCGAACGACGCGGGCGAGCGGGGCUUUGGACGCCGGUGGAGACGCAGGCGAGACUCCAGCGGGAGGAAGAAGAGGCCUUUGCCAGCAGUCAGAGCAGCCAAGGGGCCCAAUCCCUCACAUUCUCCAAGUUUGAAGGAAAGAAAACCAACAAGAAGACCCGCAAGGUUACCACAGUGAAGAAAUCUUCAGUACGUCUUCCAGGGUCGGAUCAAAGAAGGAUAUUGAAAUGGAUUCCAGGCGUGUGCCUCGAGACAAGCUGGCCUGCAUCACCAAGUGCAGCAAGCACAUCUUCGAUGCCAUCAAGAUCACCUAGAACGAGCUGGCGUCAGCAGAUGACUUCCUCCCCACCCUCAUCUACAUUGUUUUGAAGGGCAACCCCCAUGCCUUCAGUCUAAUAUCCAGUAUAUCACGUGCUUCUGCAAUCCAAGCCGACUGAUGACUGGAGAGGAUGGCUACUAUUUCACCAAUCUGAGGCUGGGCACUCACUGCAGCUGGCUAAUGAUGACCAUGUGGACAUGCUUUCGGGCCUUCAGGAUCUUCUCCAGCCAGUGGAUGUCACAACGGUGUUGGAGUCUUGGGCCCAAAGACCAGCUCCUAGAACCUGCAGGGAAGCAACGGCACGUUCCAUCUCUCCCCAUGCCACUGAGGAAUCAUUGGUGGCAGGAUUCUCAGCAGGCAUGGCCGUGGGUGCACAGAACAGAGAAAGGAUGGCCUGGACCACACACAUCACUGUGUGCAGAUGCUUUCCUAGACACUGCAGCCAAGGACACAGAGGCUCAGAGAGAAUAACCUCCAUCUCCUGGGUCCCAGCGAUUCUCCUGCCUCAGCCUCUUCCUAUUUCACAAGUAGGGAAACUGAAGCCCAGGUAGGCAAGCCUGACUUGCUGGAGUCACACAGGAAGUUGGCAGCUCUGCUCCAUCCCUGGGAUCUGGAGCCCCUGCUCUGGGGAAGGAGAGGUGGGGCGCUGCCUUCCCAGAGUCCCCUCAAGCUGGCAGGGACGGCUGUACCCCCAGGGUCAGAGGAGAACUAAAAGGAGCGGAAGCUGGCCUGGGUCCAGGGAGAGACCUCGUGUUUGCCCAAAAGGGAGCUGGAGAGGGGCAGCUGGGCCCAUAUGCAGGGAGGAGCUGCAGGGAGCUGGUGGCGGGGCAGCAAAGAGAAGUGGAUUUGGUGGGUAGAGGGGCCCCUCCUUGGUUCUAGUCCUCCCCGCAGCCCCUUGCAAACAGGCGGGGCUCUCCUGUCCUUCUUGUCUCCUGCAGCAAGCCCUACAUGAAGAGGCCUCUUUGGUGAGUGGCAGCUCAACCUCUGCUAAAUGCCUCCAGUGAUGGGGAGUUCACUACCUUCCAAAGUUUUUAAAAGAUGUUAACCACUGCUAUUCAAGAACAAUUCUAGAAUUUUUUUUUUUUUGAAAGACAAGGUCUCAUUCUGUCUCGCAGGCCAGAGUGCAGUGGUGUGAUCAUAGCUCACUGCAGCUUUGACUUCCUGGGCUCAAGCAAUCCUCCCUCCUCAGCCUCCUGAGUACCUGAGACUACAGAUGUGCACCACCACACUGGCUCAUUGUUUUCAUUUUUUGUAGAGACAGGAUCUCACUAUGUUGCCCAGGCUGGUCUCCUGGCUUCAAGCAAUCCUCCUGCCUUGGCCUCCCAAAGUGCUGGGAUUACAGGCGUGAGCCACUGCAUCUGGCCUUUUUUUUUUGGAGAUAGAGUCUCGCUCUGUCGCCCAGGGUGGAGUGCAGUGGCGUGAUCUCGGCUCAUUGCAACCUCCGCCUUCCGGGUUCACACCAUUCUCCUGCCUCAGCCUCCCGAGUAGCUGGGAUUACAGGCAUCUGCCAACCAUGCCUGGCUAAUUUUUGUAUUUUUUGGUGGAGACAGGGUCUCACCAUGUUGGCUAGGCUGGUUUCGAACUCCCGACCUCAGGUGAUCUACCCGCCUCAGCCUCCCAAAGUCCUGGGAUUACAGGCUGAGCCACCGCGACCGGCCCUGCUGUUGCUUCUGAGGUUUGAAAACCGCUGCCUCAAUGCUCCUGAUUCAGCUCUUCUUACCCAAAGGUUCCCCCACCUCAUCUACUCUGUUCCUGCACAGUCGCCCUUUUCUCUGAUGCCCCGGGCAGGUUUCUCUCUGCCAGCUCCACGCUUCUGGAGUCCCCCAUCCGUCUUGGGGCCCAGCUGCCCACUGUCUGGGUUCAGACCUUCUCAACACUCCCUGGCUUCUCUGCCCUAGUUUUGCCUUCUCCAAUCCACUCUUGGUGGGUGGAAGUACGGUUACCAUGGUAACUUGAAGACAACGCAAAUCUGAUUGUAUCAUUACAAUGACUGGGAAAACCUCCAGUGCCACAAAAUAAAGCUCAAGUCACUAGCUUUGCAGUCCAGGCCCUUUACCAUUCCGGCAGCAUUUCUGGGGGCUAUUCUCCUUCCCCCCACUGCACAACCCCGCCUGGCCACCCCAGGCUCAGGCUGCAGAACAGCGUAGACCAGGGAGUGGCUUUGGGGUCAUGCUAACUACCUGGUUUUUGUCUCUUUCAGGCUGUUUGCUCAGUUGCAAAAUGGGAAGGACAACAGCACCCGCCUCACAGGCUAAGAGGCUGUGUGUGAAAAGCCCGCAGCACAGGAUCUGGCACGCGUGGACGUGCGGGAUGGGAGGAGGGGAUUUCCCAGCUCCUCAUCUCUGCAGGGACUGGCCUUGGCCUAGGGAACACUAGCUGUCCAGGGAGGGGGAGCUUUCCCUGAGCCCCCCGAUGUGUGGCAGGCAGAGGAGAGCAAGCUACUUCUGGGAGGGGAGUUGUGGGGAAGGGCAAGUUAGUCUUUACUGAGGGUGGCAGUGAGCUGGCACUUUGGUCUCACCUCGGCUGCAGAAACCCACCCUGCUCCCGUCUUAUUUCCUGGGGAUUUCAGCUGUGUGCAGGCACAGAUGCAUCUCCCAAGUGCCUCAUGCUUGCCUUGAUCUCCUCUCCUUCCUCUGGCCAGUCCUGAACCUCUUGGUGAUCCACGGCGGCACCUCUGUGUCCUACAUCCUUCUCUGGCCAUCUCCUUCCCUCCUUCCAGCCCUCCCUCUAGGACCCUGACCCCAACCAUCCUUCAUCCCCAUGGGGACAUUCAGUCCACUGACUCAUCACCCUCCCCUGUCCCUCUGUGAGAGAAGGAGCAGGCAGAGAGGAUCUUGCAAGAGCCUUCAGCAACUCUCUUCCACCCAUCCUGUUGCUUGCUGCUUUUUUUUUUUUUUUUUCCAAAAAAAUAGAGAUGGGGUCUUGCUAUGUGGCUGGUCUCAAACUCCUGGGCUCAAGUGAUCCUCCUGCCUCGGCCUCCCAAAGUGCUGGAUUACAGGCGUGAGCCACCACACCCGGCUCCGUUCCCUUUCUAAGCAGGGUGCUCCUUUUCUUGCCAUUUCCCCCAUCCUCCUUCCUCUCCCACAGCUCACUUCCCUCUCUACUGAAUCUGCUGAAGAUCAUGCAGCUGCUGUUCCUGCCUCUAAAACCCUCUCUUGGCUGGGUGUGGUGGGUGACAUAUGUAAUCCCAGCACUUUGGGAGGCUGAGGCAGGAGAAUCACUUGAACCCGGGAGGCGGAGGUUGCAGUGAGCCGAGAUUGCGCCACUGCACUCCAGCCUAGGUGAUAGAGCAAGACUCUGUCCCCUCCCUCCACCAAAAAAAUAAAGCCCUCUCUGCAUCCAUUCCACUCUCCACUCUUGCUCAUUCUCUCCUGCCCUCUAAAAGGUGAUCUGUCUUUGGCAGAUUCAAUCACUUGCCUUUCUCAUUCUCUCCUGAGCCCACUAUUCCACUCUGGUCCCCACCACUUCCCCCAAAACUGCUUUGAACCAUCGCACUGCAACCUGUUGCUUAGCCCCUCCAUCUAGUCUCAGGCGUUAGGACUGACUGCCCAGCAGAGGCUGGUGCAACCAAUCACCUCCUUUAGUAAGUUUCUCCCUGGGCUUCACCUCUUCACCUGUGGGCUUUCCACCUGUCUCUCUCUUUUUUUUUUAAGACAGUCUCCUCUGUUGCCAGGCUGGAAUGCCGUGGCGCAAUCUCAGCUCACUGCAACCUCUACCUCCUGGGUUCAAGCGAUUCUCCUGCCUCAGGCUCCCAAGUAGCUGGGAUUACAGGUGCCCGCCACCACACCGGGCUAAUUUUUGUAUUUUUAGUAGAGUCGGGGUUUCACCAUGUUGCCCAGGCUGGUCUCGAACUCCUGACCUUACGUGAUCCACCCGCCU
rnacentral:lncRNA from 1 species